rnacentral:misc_RNA from 1 species
CUUUCAGUCUCUGGUAAGAAGCUUCUAACGGGUUGCGUGGAGAAAGCAACAUUUUCUGGCAGAUGUUGUUCCAGAAAACAUCAGGGCUCAAAUUUUGCACACUCUCGUACAGAUUGUUGAUGCUACCAAUCUGUACCGGUAGUUGAAAUUGGUUCCCAAGCCGGAUGAUAGUUCCCAAUGGAAGGGUCAGGAAACUAAAGAGAACAUCAACAAAGUCUCCACUUGCUUCUGCCAUAACUACACGCUUUUGUUCAUUAUCCACCCAAUAUCUCAAAGGGAUUGUUGCUUCUUGGUUGGAAGCCAUAACUGAAACAUACAACUUAACAUUAGUAUCAAUGAAACGAGAAAAAAAAUGCAAAUGUCAUAGUGAAAUUUCUGAUCGCUCAACUUAGUUGUUCGU